GGACAGGGUGCCACGGGGACAGGACCUUAGUGGGACAGGACAUCGUAGGGACGGGGCCUUGCGGGGACAGCGCAGCGUGGGGACGAUCGCACGGUCCAAGGGUGAGACCCCAAGUGAUCCUAAAACUCAUCCUGGUGCCCCCACGGAGCCCUGCCAGGGUGGGCUGGAGGGGGGACUCCCAGCCCUGCUCCCCCCUAGUCCAUCGCUGACCCCCCCGGGGGGGGUCCGGGCCGCCAGCACAGACCAGUUUGCUGCCUCCAUUCCCAGAAGAAAGAAUAAAGUUAAAACAUCUGUUAAUUUAUAAACCAA